rfam:Myotis lucifugus cont2.13866, whole genome shotgun sequence.
GGCAGUUCUUGGAUGACACACCCCAGAAUCAGGCUCCCUCCUCUCUGGUUCUGGGUGCAUCACCCAAGAACCGCA